rnacentral:rRNA from 1 species
CGGCGGACGGGUGAGUAACGCGUGGGUAACCUGCCUCAUACAGGGGGAUAACAGUUGGAAACGGCUGCUAAUACCGCAUAAGCGCACAGUACCGCAUGGUACCGUGUGAAAAACUCCGGUGGUAUGAGAUGGACCCGCGUCUGAUUAGCUAGUUGGUGGGGUAACGGCCUACCAAGGCGACGAUCAGUAGCCGACCUGAGAGGGUGAACGGCCACAUUGGGACUGAGACACGGCCCAG